rnacentral:misc_RNA from 1 species
AACGCACAUUGCGCCUCCUGGUAUUCCGGGAGGCACACCUGUUCGAGCGCCGUUUUCAAACUAAGACCAUGUCUUGUGUUGACAGCUCCCGCUUGGGAUUGUCGAAACUCUUCAACGCCUGUUGGCGACGGCAUACGCAGCGUAAUGCGAGUUGCAGUCACUCAACGGCAGUUUGUCAUGAGAAGUUUGGCCUCGGAUCAGGUGGGGAUACCCGCUGAACUUAA